GUGAAUCAUCGAAUCUUUGAACGCAUAUUGCGCUCUUUGGUAUUCCGAAGAGCAUGCUUGUUUGAGUAUCAGUAAACACCUCAAAGUCUUUCAAUUUAUUUUGGAAUUCUUUGGACUUGAGCAAUCCCAACACCAGUCCUUUAUGGAUCGGCGGAGGGUUGCUUGAAAUGCAGGUGCAGCUGGACAUUCUCCUGAGCUAUAAGCAUAUUUAUUUAGUCCCGUCAAACGGAUUAUUACUUUUGCUGCAGCUAACAUAAAGGGAGUUUGACCGUAUUGGCUGACUGAUGCAGGAUUUCACAA
rnacentral:misc_RNA from 1 species